rnacentral:lncRNA from 10 species
UGUCAACAUGGGAGCCUUGGAGAAAUUUUUCUUGAAGAGUACUUAAGUCAAUAAUACCAAGGAGAAUGCAAAGACUACAAGACUUCAGAGUCACAGCUGGCUACAAACCCACCCCCUGCACCCAGUACCACUAGCUGGAGACACUGGAAGAUGCUCUUGUUAUUCUCGGAUCACCGCCUACCCCCAAAACCCAUCCUCCCUGCUGCCUUACCUGAGAAGUUGAACCCCAGAGACAGAAAGGAUCACCUGCACUCCUUGUACUGGGCCUUCCCAUCGGCCAACGUGUGGCAUGAACGAGGCUGCAUCCCUCUUCCAUAGCACCUGCACUCGUAGGCUCUGCAAAUUUCAUCCCCACCUUUGGCCCUUCAGGCCUAGGGCAAGUCACAGCUCCCCAGAACUGUUCAUCCCCAGGUGUCUCGCCAUCCCUAGAUAGCACCUGUAAGCCUGACUACACCUCUGUAAAGCG